AAGGGCACCACAAGAACGCGUGGAGCAUGUGGCUUAAUUUGACUCAACGCGGGAAAACUUACCGGGUCCGGACACACUGAGGAUUGACAGGCGAGAGUAUAUACUUUUGUUAUACUCGCUACAUAUGUAAGUCCUUUCAUGAUUGUGUGAUAGGUGGUGCAUGGCCGUUCUUAGUUCGUGGAGUGAUCUGUCUGCUUAAUUGCGUUUCAGAUAUAUAAAGGCAAGCUUAUCUUAUUGCGAGGUACGUCAAAUUUCACUUCGGUGAUUUGCUACUGAGCAGGCUGCCUUUUGAAAGCAACGAACGUGACCUCAGCUCAAUGUUAUCUCAUAUGAGACCAACUUUGAGGACCGCCAGAGUUGUCAACUCGGAGGAAGGUUGAGGCAAUAACAGGUCUGUGAUGCCCUUAGAUGUUCCGGGCUGCACACGUGCUACAAUGAUUGUUGCAGAAAGUAUCUGCUCUACUUAUAUACACUUGGCAUUCGUGCCUCGUGUAUGUGUGUAAUUUUAUUACACACUCAACCUGUCUCGAAAGUACGACAGGCAAUCAAUUCCAAGUAACAAUCUCUAUUUAUACUAGCACAAGUCAAAGGAAGUGCGGUCAACUCAUAUUUUAUAUAUGUUUUGCCCUCUUCCGUGCUCCAAUUGAAUUCGUGGUCGGGACAGACCAUUGUGUAAUUGUUGGUCUCGGUCUCAACUAGGAAUGCCUUGUACGGGUCUUUGGUUCAACAAACCACCCGGAAUACGUCCCUGCCCUUUGUACACACCGCCCGUCGCUCUUACCGAUGGACUAUUCUGUGAGUUUAAGGGACUGGCAUAUACAAGUCUUAUUCUUGUUGGCUAUGGAAACUUAAACGAACAGUGUGGUCUAAAGGAAAGAGAAGUCG
rnacentral:rRNA from 1 species